GUAAUAUAAAAUACGGUCUCUUAGAUUUUAACUAAAAAUACUAAGAGACGUCUCUUAAAUAAGAGAUAUAAGACGUCUCUUAGCUUUUUUAGUUAAAAGCUAAGAGACCGUAUCUUAUAUUAU
rfam:Brassica napus, WGS project CCCW01000000 data, contig: 7203